rnacentral:rRNA from 1 species
CUACGGGUCGCAGCAGUAAGGAAUAUUGCGCAAUGGAGGCAACUCUGACGCAGCCAUGCCGCGUGCAGGAAGAAGGCCUUAUGGGUCGUAAACUGCUUUUAUUUAGGAAUAAACCCCCGAACGUGUUCGGGGCUGAAGGUACUAAACGAAUAAGCACCGGCUAACUCCGUGCCAGCAGCCGCGGUAAUACGGAGGGUGCAAGCGUUAUCCGGAUUUAUUGGGUUUAAAGGGUGCGCAGGCGGGCUAUUAAGUCAGUGGUGAAAUCCCGGGGCUCAACUCCGGAACUGCCAUUGAUACUGAUAGUCUUGAGUUUGGUUGAAGUGGGCGGAAUGUAGCAUGUAGCGGUGAAAUGCAUAGAUAUGCUACAGAACACCAAUCGCGAAGGCAGCUCACUAAGCCAAAACUGACGCUCAUGCACGAAAGCGUGGGGAUCAAACAGGAUUAGAUACCCCUGUAGUC